rnacentral:rRNA from 1 species
GACGAACGCUGGCGGCGUGGAUUAGGCAUGCAAGUCGGACGGUAGGGCUUUAUCGUAAGAUAGAGUUUGAGAGUGGCGAACGGGUGAGUAACACGUAGGAAUCUACCCUUAAGACGGGGACAACCCAGGGAAACUUGGGCUAAUACCGGAUGAGAGUGCGAGAGAUUGCAUUUAAAAGGAUGGCGAAAGUUAUCGCUUAGGGAUGAGCCUGCGGUCUAUUAGUUAGUUGGUGGGGUAAGAGCUCACCAAGGCGAUGAUAGAUAGGCGGCCUUAACGGGUGGUCGCCCACACUGGGGAUUGAGAUACGGCCCAGACUCCUACGGGAGGCAGCAGUCGAGAAUAGUCUACAAUGGCCGGAAGGCUGAUAGUGCGACGCCGCGUGAACGAGGGAGCCCUUCGGGGUGUAAAGUUCUUUUCUAUACGAGCAGUGCUAUAUAUAUGGAUAGUAUAUAUAGAGGGAUAGUAGUAUAGGAAUAAGCAACGGCUAACUCCGUGCCAGCCGCCGCGGUAAAACCC